UCGGGAAUUUUGGGCAAUGGGCGAAAGCCUGACCCAGCAACGCCGCGUGAAGGAUGAAGUAUUUCGGUAUGUAAACUUCGAAAGAAUAGGAAGAAUAAAUGACGGUACUAUUUAUAAGGUCCGGCUAACUACGUGCCAGCAGCCGCGGUAAUACGUAGGGACCAAGCGUUGUUCGGAUUUACUGGGCGUAAAGGGCGCGUAGGCGGCAUGACAAGUCACUUGUGAAAUCUCUGGGCUUAACCCAGAACGGCCAAGUGAUACUGUCGCGCUAGAGUGCAGAAGGGGCAAUCGGAAUUCUUGGUGUAGCGGUGAAAUGCGUAGAUAUCAAGAGGAACACCUGAGGUGAAGACGGGUUGCUGGGCUGAUACUGACGCUGAGGCGCGAAAGCUAGGGUAGCAAACGGGAUUAGAUACCCAAGUAGUCCCUGAGCGGGCUGGCAAGGCGCAU
rnacentral:rRNA from 1 species